AGGUGGCGAGCGUUGUCCGGAUUUACUGGGUGUAAAGGGCGUGCAGCCGGGCGUCCAAGUCAGAUGUGAAAUCCCGCGGCUCAACCGCGGAACUGCAUUUGAAACUGGGCGUCUUGAGUACCGGAGAGGUCAUCGGAAUUCCUUGUGUAGCGGUGAAAUGCGUAGAUAUAAGGAAGAACACCAGUGGCGAAGGCGGAUGACUGGACGGCAACUGACGGUGAGGCGCGAAAGCGUGGGGAGCGA
rnacentral:rRNA from 1 species